UACGAAGGGGGCUAGCGUUGCUCGGAAUUACUGGGCGUAAAGCGCACGUAGGCGGCUUCUUAAGUCGGUGGUGAAAUCCUGGAGCUCAACUCCAGAACUGCCUUCGAUACUGGGAAGCUCGAGUCCGGGAGAGGUAAGUGGAAUUCCGAGUGUAGAGGUGAAAUUCGUAGAUAUUCGGAAGAACACCAGUGGCGAAGGCGACUUACUGGACACAUAUUGACGCUGAGGUGCGAAAGCGUGGGGAGCAAACAGG
rnacentral:rRNA from 1 species